UACGAGGGGAGCUAGCGUUGUUCGGAAUUACUGGGCGUAAAGGGCGCGUAGGCGGUCCUAUAAGUCAGAUGUGAAAGCCCCGGGCUUAACCUGGGAGGUGCAUUUGAAACUGUAGAACUUGAGAUCGAGAGAGGAAAGUGGAAUUACGAGUGUAGAGGUGAAAUUCGUAGAUAUUCGUAAGAACACCAGUGGCGAAGGCGACUUUCUGGCUCGAUACUGACGCUAAGGCGCGAAAGCGUGGGGAGCAAACAGGAUUAGAAACCCGUGUAGUCC
rnacentral:rRNA from 1 species